rnacentral:sRNA from 1 species
GGAUGUGAGGGUGAUCUGGCUGAGACUUCUGUCACCCUAUUGAUUGCCAGAGUUGAUUCAGCUGACCUGGCUGGCUAGGUGGGUGUCCCCUGUCUCCCUCACUGCUCCAUGUGCAUUCCUGCAGAAGCUGGAUGAUCAGUGGAAGAGAACGACUAUCCCUCCUCCCCUCCAUAGAGGAGGACUGUUUCCUUGGUCAAGGGUAUGUGAGUAGCUGUACUCUCCUGCUAGAACCUCCAAACAAGCUCUCAAGGAUAUGUAUCAUCUCUCUCUCUCUUUUUUUAAAUACCUAGACAUUGUAAAUAUUUUAUCAUUUUAUGG